rnacentral:rRNA from 1 species
AUUGAACGCUAGCGGGAUGCUUUACACAUGCAAGUCGAACGGCAGCGCGGACUUCGGUCUGGCGGCGAGUGGCGAACGGGUGAGUAAUGUAUCGGAACGUGCCCAGUAGCGGGGGAUAACUACGCGAAAGCGUAGCUAAUACCGCAUACGCCCUACGGGGGAAAGCAGGGGAUCGUAAGACCUUGCACUAUUGGAGCGGCCGAUAUCGGAUUAGCUAGUUGGUGAGGUAACGGCUCACCAAGGCGACGAUCCGUAGCUGGUUUGAGAGGACGACCAGCCACACUGGGACUGAGACACGGCCCAGACUCCUACGGGAGGCAGCAGUGGGGAAUUUUGGACAAUGGGGGCAACCCUGAUCCAGCCAUCCCGCGUGUGCGAUGAAGGCCUUCGGGUUGUAAAGCACUUUUGGCAGGAAAGAAAAGUCGCGGGCUAAUACCCCGUGGAACUGACGGUACCUGCAGAAUAAGCACCGGCUAACUACGUG